AGAUGCCGAGGCUCUUCUGCUCUGCCACUUCGUCUUCUCUCUUCUCCUCAAUCAUUUCGUCUUCUCCCCGUGAAACGAUUUCCAGUGAGUUCUGAUUCCUCCAUCAAUAGUCCAUAAUCAAUUUCUCCUUUAUGGUUUCGUUACAUCUCCCUCUUUUCCUCCUCCUUUAUAUACUACUUUCUUUCCUCUGUAAAAAUCAAACCCCU
rnacentral:lncRNA from 1 species